rnacentral:lncRNA from 1 species
GAUAUAAAAAAUACAAAGCACCUACAACACCCAGCUUCAGUUAUCAAAUGUUGGUGGUAAUUUUAGUUAUGCCACUGUGAAAGCGUCGAUUGUUAAGUAGACAUAAAAAGUUUGAAGUAUGCACAAAGCCUGAAAGUGUCAAAUAUGGAACCUAAAAAAACCUGCCUUUGCCACUGACUGUAUAAAGAUUUUUUAAGGUCUGUUUGUCAAGCGUCAAGUCAGGUUAUCUUGGUACUGGUACCAUGUAGUACAUCCUGCUUAAGCAGGUUGUACGCCAUCCAUACGACAUUUGGGCAUCUGUUUGUAAAAUAUUGCUGCAAAUCUUUUUGAGAGAGCCAUUACUAUGGAGAACCAUCUAAACCUAUACAAGUGUGGAAACAUGGAUGUAAAUCUAUAUUAAUGUGAAAUAAACUGAUGAGUUUAUUUAACUUAGCUGGUAAAAAAAAAAAAGAGUUUUCGUGAAACAAAUUUAAUGAAGACAGUUAUAGAAUGAAGUUCAUUCAUUUGCUGGCAACUUUUUUAAACGUGGUCCAGAUCGAAAAAGUUUGGUGCCAGAAAUAGUCGAUAGUGGAAGUGAUAGA